rnacentral:rRNA from 1 species
UACGUAGGGUCCAAGCGUUGUCCGGAUUUAUUGGGCGUAAAGAGCUCGUAGGCGGUUCCGUAAGUCGGAUGUGAAAACUCGGGGCUCAACCCCGAGACGCCAUCCGAUACUGCGGUGACUUGAGUCUGGUAGGGGAACACGGAAUUCCUGGUGUAGCGGUGAAAUGCGUAGAUAUCAGGAGGAACACCGGUGGCGAAGGCGCUCAUCUGGCCCAAUACUGACGCUGAGGCGCGAAAGCUAGGGGAGCAAACGGG